GGCGGGAUUACCCGCUGAGUUUAAGCAUAUCAAUAA
rnacentral:rRNA from 1 species